UACGGGGGGGGGCAAGCGUUGUUCGGAAUUACUGGGCGUAAAGGGCGCGUAGGCGGCCUUCUAAGUCGAACGUGAAAUCCCCGGGCUCAACUCGGGAACUGCGUCCGAUACUGGCGGGCUUGAAUCCGGGAGAGGGAUGCGGAAUUCCAGGUGUAGCGGUGAAAUGCGCAGAUAUCAGGAGGAACACCGGUGGCGAAGGCGGGUCUCUGGGCAACAACUGACGCUGAGGAGCGAAAGCGUGGGGAGCGAACAGG
rnacentral:rRNA from 1 species